rnacentral:rRNA from 1 species
GUCGAACGGCAGCGGGGAGUAGCUUGCUACUCUGCCGGCGAGUGGCGGACGGGUGAGUAAUGCCUGGGGAGCUGCCCAAUCGAGGGGGAUACCAGUUGGAAACGACUGCUAAUACCGCAUACGCCCUGAGGGGGAAAGAUGGGGAUCUUAGGACCUAUCGCGAUUGGAUGCACCCAGGUGGGAUUAGCUAGUUGGUGAGGUAACGGCUCACCAAGGCGACGAUCUCUAGCUGGUCUGAGAGGAUGACCAGCCACACUGGAACUGAGACACGGUCCAGACUCCUACGGGAGGCAGCAGUGGGGAAUAUUGCACAAUGGGGGAAACCCUGAUGCAGCCAUGCCGCGUGUGUGAAGAAGGCCUUCGGGUUGUAAAGCACUUUCAGCGAGGAGGA